rnacentral:rRNA from 1 species
UACAGAGGUCUCAAGCGUUGUUCGGAUUCAUUGGGCGUAAAGGGUGCGUAGGUGGCGCUGUAAGUCGGGUGUGAAAUUUCGGAGCUUAACUCCGAAACUGCAUUCGAUACUGCGGUGCUUGAGGACUGGAGAGGAGACUGGAAUUUUACGGUGUAGCGGUGAAAAUGCGUAGAUAUCGUAAGGAAGACCAGUGGCGAAGGCGGGUCUCUGGACAGUUCCUGACGCUGAGGCACGAAGGUCAGGGGGAGCAAACGGG